rnacentral:rRNA from 1 species
AGUGAACGCUGGCGGCAUGCCUUACACAUGCAAGUCGAACGGUAACGCGGGGGCAACCCUGGCGACGAGUGGCGAACGGGUGAGUAAUGCAUCGGAACGUGCCCAAUAGUGGGGGAUAGCCCGGCGAAAGCCGGAUUAAUACCGCAUACGACCUGAGGGUGAAAGCGGGGGAUCGCAAGACCUCGCGCUAUUGGAGCGGCCGAUGUCAGAUUAGGUUGUUGGUGGGGUAAAGGCUCACCAAGCCGACGAUCUAUAGCUGGUCUGAGAGGACGACCAGCCACACUGGGACUGAGACACGGCCCAGACUCCUACGGGAGGCAGCAGUGGGGAAUUUUGGACAAUGGGCGCAAGCCUGAUCCAGCCAUGCCGCGUGCGGGAAGAAGGCCUUCGGGUUGUAAACCGCUUUUGUUCGGGAAGAAAUCCUUUGAGCUAAUACCUCGAAGGGAUGACGGUACCGGAAGAAUAAGCACCGGCUAACUACGUGCCAGCAGCCGCAGUAAUAC